UACGUAGGGUGCGAGCGUUGUCCGGAAUUAUUGGGCGUAAAGAGCUCGUAGGCGGUUUGUUGCGUCUAUCGUGAAAACCUGCGGCUUAACUGUGGGCUUGCGGUGGAUACGGGCAGACUAGAGUGCGGUAGGGGAGACUGGAAUUCCUGGUGUAGCGGUGAAAUGCGCAGAUAUCAGGAGGAACACCGGUGGCGAAGGCGGCGCUCUGGACCGAGACUGACGCUGAGGCGCGAAAGCGUGGGGAGCAAACAGG
rnacentral:rRNA from 1 species